rnacentral:rRNA from 1 species
GAUGAACGCUGGCGGCGUGCCUAAUACAUGCAAGUCGAGCGAACAGAUGAGGAGCUUGCUUCUCUGACGUUAGCGGCGGACGGGUGUGUAACACGUGGAUCACGUCCCUAUAAGACUGGGAUCACUUCGGGAAACCGGAGCUUAUACCGGAUAAUAUCUUGCACCGCACGGUUCAAUAGAGAAAGACGAAUUUGCUGUCACUUAUACAUGGAUCCGAGUCGCAUUAUCUUGUUGGGAAGGUCAAGGAAUACCACGGCUACUAUGCGUAGCGGACCUGUGAGGGUGAUCGGCCACACGGGAACUGAGACUCGGUCGAGACUCCUACGGUAGGCAACAGUAGGGAAUCUUCCGCAAUGGACGAAAGCCUGGCAGAGCAACGCCGCGGGAGUGAUGAAGGUCUUCGGAUCGUAAAACGCUGUUAUUAGGGAAAAACAAAUGUGUAAGUAACUAUGCACGUCUUGACGGUACCUAAUCAGAAAGCCACGGCUAACUACGUG